rnacentral:rRNA from 1 species
UACAGAGGUCUCAAGCGUUGUUCGGAUUCAUUGGGCGUAAAGGGUGCGUAGGUGGCGCUGUAAGUCGGGUGUGAAAUUUCGGAGCUUAACUCCGAAACUGCAUUCGAUACUGCGGUGCUUGAGGACUGGAGAGGAGACUGGAAUUCACGGUGUAGCAGUGAAAUGCGUAGAGAUCGUGAGGAAGACCAGUGGCGAAGGCGGGUCUCUGGACAGUUCCUGACACUGAGGCACGAAGGCCAGGGGAGCAAACGGG